rnacentral:rRNA from 1 species
AGACAAGGAAAUCUAUAAACAAAUCGGUAAAAAGGAUAGUUAUAAUAUUUCCAAGAAGUCAAAUCAAUGUAUUUAGAAGUAGAAUUCAUCAAUACUUUACCAGACUUAAGACUUCUAAGUUAGAAUCUAUGAAAUUACUAAGCAAAACCAGGAUUAGAUACCCUGCUAUUAGUAGCAUAAAUUUUUUCACCACCAGGGAAUUAUAGGGCUCCCCCUGAAACCUAAAGAGCUUGGCGGUACCUUAAACCCAAUUAGGGGAACCUGUUCUAUAAUCGAUAAUCCGCGCAGGACCUGCCUCUUUUUAAUUAGUCUGUAUACCGUCGUCGCCAGACAACUUUUAAGAAAAUAAUAGUUCUCUUCGAUAAAAUAUUUAUAGACGUCAGAUCAAGGUGCAGCCUAUAAAAGAGUAAGAAAUGGGUUACAAUUUUUAAUUUACAAUAUGAAUUCACUAUUGAAAAAAUUCUGAUGAAGGCGGACUUAAAAGUAAUUUUUGUAAGAACGCCAAAAUGAAUAAGGCUCUGAGGUGUGCACACAUCGCCCGUCGCUCUCGCUGAAAAGU